rnacentral:rRNA from 1 species
UUACGGUCAUAUCACAUUGAAACACCAGUUUCCGUACGAUCAGCGAAGUUAAGCAACGCCGAGCCUGAUCAGUAUCUAGAUGUGUUAAAACUUGGGAAUUUCAGGUGCUGUAAG